rnacentral:rRNA from 1 species
AACGUAGGAGGCGAGCGUUAUCCGGAUUUACUGGGCGUAAAGCGCGUGCAGGCGGUUUGGUAAGUUGUGCGUGAAAGCUCCCAGGCUCAACCGGGAGAGGCCGUGCAAGACUGCCAGACUAGAAGUAGAGAGAGGCUAGUAGAAUUCCGGGUGUAGUGGUGAAAUGCGUAGAGAUCCGGAGGAAUACCAGAGGCGAAGGCGGCUAGCUGGCUCUAACUUGACGCUCAGACGCGAAAGCAUGGGGAGCGAACGGGAUUAGAAACCCCCGUAGUCC